AGCCGGCACAGCCAGAAGUCUGAUUCCUCUCUAAGUUUCUUCAUAGGGAGUUUUUCCUGUGAAUCAAACCAUGUUUUUGCUUGCGGUUUAGGGUUUCUUGGGUGUCUAUAUAAGCACUUUGACACAAUUGCUGUUGUAAAAAGGGCUUUAGGAAAUAAACUGGAUUGAUUGCUGCCAAAGGCACUUCUCAAGUACUGAACAAAGGGACUGAAUAUGUACAUAAGAUAUCUGAUUUUUAUUUUUAAUAAAAUGGAAAAAUGGUACAAAGGUUUUUAGCAUUUUAUGUGGGUGUGUAGAUUGACAGAAACAGAAAGACAGAAAGUGAAGGGGUCUGAAUAAUUUCUGAAGGCACCGCGAGUGAAAGAAACGUAAGCCGAAUUCCUGCCCCUCACUCAGGAUCUGACAUCAUGAGUUGCUAUCAGCCUCAGUGUGAUGAAGCUCUCUGGCACCCCGUUUGUGAUCAGUUGAUCACGGAUCUGGAAAUUGAACAAGCAGACACAACAGAUAUAUGAUUAUCAGGAGGAUCUGAGGGGAAUCCCGCAGUUGGUUGAAUGUGAAACCAUCUGACAUGGUGGAGUGAUACUGACUUGUGGUAAGACUUCUGUUGUGAUGUUUGCAUCUGUGAGCAAACCUGUAAGCAGUGGCUGAUAGGAAAGUUUUAUGCUCACUACAAGUAUGUGUCCUGUAGAAACAGUCAAAAUGGUUAACAAACACAUAUGCACACAUUAUUUUUGGAGUUUGAACAACCAGUGAACGCCAUACUUACUAGACCUGCUGCUCAGUGUUGUAAUGGUAGUAGAGGUAACUGGAAGAGUGGUGAUUGAGGUGGUUGUGGGAUUGGGGAUUGAGGUGGUUGUGGGAUUGGGGAUUGAGGUGGUUGUGGGAUUGGGGAUUGAGGUGGUUGUGGGAUUGGGGAUUGAGGUGGUUGUGGGAUUGGUGAUUGAGGUGGUUGUGGGAUUGGUGAUUGAGGUGGUUGUGGGAUUGGUAGUUAAGAUGGCUGGGAGAUUGGUGGUUAUGUUUGGAAUGGUAGAUGUAGGAGCUGUAGCACAAAGAAAGACAAACAAAUUGGCUGAUCAAUUAAUGUUUUCGUCAAAGAUGCAGUCUCCAAUUUUCAGUGGAGAGUUGUAAAACUGGAGCUGUCAAGCCAAAUUGGUUCACAGAAAAUGGUGAUAUGUGUUACGUAUGUGUCAAUUUGUGCCAAAUGUUAUUUAAAAAACACUCACUUUCAAAUGAGAAUUUCAUUGAUGACUGAUAUGAUAAAAUGUAUAAUAUUCUACUUAUAGAUUAGGCUAAUAUAAAAAAAACAUAUUACACAUCCAGACAUAAAUGUGUACAAUGUUCAGACAAAAUUUGAAGCAUUGGUCAAACAAUGUUAGCAUGUAUUUUGAACUUUUCAAGUUGAGAACAUUCAAUGGCAUUGCCCAUGAAUAGACUAAGCACAAUAUGCAACUGUAGGCCCAGUCCUCAUGUAAAAUGUCCCUGAUUGUCUUGAAAGGCGUCCCCCAAAUAAAAUGUAUUAUUCUUAUUCUUACUUGAAACGUAGUACUACAUACACAAUUAGAGACACCUAAUGAUAUAUGUCCAGUUACCGACCAAUGUAAUGCUAAAUGUAUAAUAACAGACAAAGAUGUCUAUUUAUUAGUACUGAAAAAAAAAAAUAUAUAUAUAUAUUUAUUAGUACUGACCAUUAAGAUGGUUACAAUCAUGUACAAUGGAUAUACUGUCGCUUAUAUGUGGCUGGCAUUGAUAUGACAUGACCACUGUCAAGGGGAGUCUGGUUAUUUGGGACAACAAGAGCUUCAGAUACCACAGACAUCAAUCCUGAAUCAGACAUUGUCUGGACGUCUAUCUAGACACCUGUGGUAACAGCGGUUGGACCAGGAACGUAAUGACGGAUGUGGAAUGAUUAGAUUAGUUCAUAUACUUGUCUGUGACAUUGAUUGUCUCUCUGUCGGUUGUCGAUGUAUUUUAACUGAAUCACUUGAAAAAGUGCAACUUAACCCUGUAACGCCAAGUGUAUCAAAACCUCUACGUCGUCAACAUGAUCAACACUUUCACUAAGAACCUGUUGUAUGCAAUCUGAUACAUGUCUUCUUCCCCCUGGUGGAUAGUCUGUGCACUGCAGGCAAAAGCGGGCUUUUUGAAUGACCGAUCAAAAAUGUCUGCUUUCAUAUAGCGACACACCCGUUUUUGAUAGGGAACUCUUUGCUAAUUUUGAAAAAGUUACAGUAAGAAUAACAUUUUUAUUGUUAGUAAUAUUUCUAUAUGAAUAUUUACUGUGUUGAAGCAACUUAUUAUUACUUAAUAUUUUGUACCUUAUUUUAUAGUAAAAUUGUGUUGAUAAUGUGUGUAUCAAAUAUGAUACAGCAGGUAUGUAAGGUAUUAAAUCCCUCAGUCGUCAUUGCAUUGAAUUUCAUGACGCAAUCUGCUUUAUGCCAAAUACACAAUUUAGAUUUUUUUAUAAAACUUAUGAAACAUUGGAUAUAUUUAAGAUAUACAGUGGGAGAACAAGUAUUUGAUACACUGCCGAUUUUGCAGGUUUUCCUACUUGCAAAGCAUGUAGAGGUCUGUAAUUUUUAUCAUAGGUACUCUUCAACUGUGAGAGACGGAAUCUAAAACAAAAAUCCAGAAAAUCACAUUGUAUGAUUUUUCAAUAAAAAAUUUUAGAUUCCGUCACUCACAGUUGAACAGUGUCUACGAUAAAAAUUACAGACUUCUACAUGCUUUGUAAGUGGGAAAACCUGCAAAAUCAGCAGUUCUCCCCAUUAUAUUUACAGUGGAAAUUGAGAUGUGUUUUUCUUUAUAUAUGCAACCCACAGUCAUGAUGAAGUCUUUUAUCAUCGAUUUUCACAAAAAUAACUUCUUGGCUGUCAUAAUAUGUAUGUUAUAUUGACAAAUUCAGAGAAGAAAUUCAGAGUACGAAAUGAAAUUCUGAGUAUGCAAUGUAUUUUUAGAUGGCCAAAGUAGUGUUCAAAAUGUCAUCAGCAUGACAUAGAUAGACGUUUUGACCAGACUAGUGAAUAAGUAGAGGUGUGACAGAACACUAUCCUCUCUAUAACCCCCCGCCACAGCAAAAUAAAAAGGUUUUAUUUUCUUCAGUUUUUAAAAUCAAGUUCCAAACCAACUGAAAUGGUCCAAAUGCAAUAAACAAUGUCUAUUUAGUUUUCUAAAAUAAAAAUUUUAGUGAUCAAUAAAUUACCAUGAAUGCCUGAUUAAUCAAAUAUUUUUUCUGCAUAUAUGUAAAUUAUAUUUAAAAAAUAUCACCAUGGAGUUCCACAAAAACUGUUUCAUUCCACUACAGGAACUGUAAUAACAACCUCAUCCAGAAUAGGGUAACAUUGCUCCAUGAGGCCUUUAAGUGCAGGUAAGGUCCAGUGACAGAAGAUUGUCUUCCGUUACUGGACCUUACCUGCACUUAAAGAUUGUUUUGUAGAAUUCACAGUGGAAUAAAGCAAUAAUAAAUGAAAUGUGAGAAAGUCUGUACACUGGGAGGAAAAUACAUAUGUUGUUGGCACAGGUGCCUAUGCACAUUACCAGGCAAUCACUGGUUGAUCUGACAAUUACUGAUACAAAAGAAUACUUUAAGGGCUACUGUAAAAUGUCCCUCAGUGAGACUACCAGAACACUAGAAAUGGGAUCAAUCUUCUCAGGGCAACAUGCAGUAGUAAAACUCACCACUUUCGUUUCCAACACGGAUGAUGACACAGCGCAGCUCAGAUUGGUACAGGGAACUGGGAAGAUCGACAGAAGUGGAAUUUUUUGCAUACAUUGACACAAUGUUUCUGAGACAAAAGCCACCAAAUCAUUUUUAUUGACACAUUUUUUGAGCAACAAACUAGUAAAUUACAUUCUGAAAGUACGGAGUGUAGGGAAAAAAAUCUCCACAGUUUUUCGUUAUGACUUUCAAAGUUGCCCACACUUUAGUUAGUUUAGUGUCAUAAAAAUGAACGUCAAGACAAAAUGUUUCAGACUCUGUUUAGCCGUGUUAUGUUUUUCAUUCUUGUUGUUGCAUAACAGUGUACAUUUAAAAGAUUUUCCAUAGAUUCAAGUCAAACUGUCAUUAGUCUGACCUGCCAUUCAGUCCCUGAGCGAUGAAGCACACAGGAUAAGCCCCUCCAUCCUCUGUAGUAGGCGUCCAUCUUAGAAGGUACAGUCCUGGGCUGGUGGUGUUCUUUGUGAUGUUCUGAGGUCCACUCACCAACAGCUCUGUAGCCCUUAACACAGGAAGGGAAAAAAAGAAAAUGAACAAUAACCUUUUGGCAUGAUGAGACUCUCAUUCAAAGCGAAUGUCUCUGACUUCCAGAUCCAAACGCAAUGGUCCCACCAAGUGGUACCUAAUAAAACAGUCCAUAUCUAGUGAAUUCUGUCAUCACAAUCUGUACUUGAAACCUAGAGGGAAGCUAAAGCUUUUUUUAUAAACGGAUGGCUAAGUGAGUGAAUGUGGUAGCCAAAUAUCAUUUGGACCUUGUGUGCAAACUGACAAAUAUCCAGGUUCCCUUUUUCAGAGAUUGAGUCAUGGCACUGGUGACUGACCCAACCCUUAGACUAGUGUUUCCUGGUUUCUAUCCUCUUA
ensembl:lncRNA